UGCCGUCGCCAAUGCCUCCUCUUUUGCGACGGCAAAAACUGAGGGGUCGCGAUUGUGGAAAAUAUUUGCGACCGUAACAACUGCCGUCGCCACUGGGCGUGGCAAACCCAAAUGGUUUACUUCGGCAAGAGUUAGCCGUAGUAAAAUACUAAAAGUUUCCGUCGCGUUUCUUCAAUUCUUCCCGUGGUAUGAAAACCACGACAGUCGCCCUCUGCUCAAAAAGAAGAAGAAAAAAAACUCUCUCAAAACGGAGGCCGAUCUCUUCGUCUCUCUUGUCCUCCCUCUCUCUCCGUCAUCGCAAAUCCCAUCUUCCUCCAAUACUUCUGUCUAAGCUCUUCCUUAUCGGCAAACCAGAUUGGGGAAAUCUUUUGGGGGUAUCGUUCAGAUCUAGAUCCCUCACCUGCAAAAGAGUCAAUUGGGUUGCAUAUCGUAAAUGACGUCGGUGAGUCCGUUUCCGGGGAGCUCUAGCUGGCUGGAGACCAGAGCUAAGAUGGGUUUCAGUUUAGGAUUCUUGGUCGGCAUCUUUGGAGUUCUAAUUCUCUCUCAUGCCGCUUAAUCAACUGUUCAGUAUUGGUUUCAUUUGGUUACAGAUAAGUUGAUAAUUGAAGAUUAUGGAGGAAGAGUUUUCAGGACCUCCAAUCACUGUGGUCGCAGAAUUGGUUCGAGGGUUAGUGUUGAGUUUGCGGGCAUGACUCACUUUUAUGGGUCUGGUUUCUAUUUUCGCAGAACUUGUUGUAGCAGUGUAAGACAAAGUUAUGCUUGACCAAUGUGAAGGAUUGUUGGCUUCAGCAGUAGCUAUGCAGAGUUUAUGCAAAAAAAUCAGGGCUCCAUUUUCUGGCCGUUGUUCCUUUGCUGUUUUUUGCUACUGUCUUGAUCCAUUACUUUUAUUCAGAUUCUGUGAACAACGUGCUAUUGAAUUUUCCAUCUGCUAUAGAUUCAGGUAUGGCAGAAAAGAGUGGAAAAAUGAAAAUGACGACAUACUUACAAGCUGAUAAUGGAGAAGGUCAAGAUACUCAAAAAGAAACACACAGAGUGUGUAAUGACCAAACUAUUGGUGCUGUUUCUAAUAAAGACACAGGUUAUCAACUUAGAUCAAGAAGAUGGAAACGAAUGAUGGCGGCAAACACUGAAAAACCAGAAAUGGAGAUGGUUUCACAAGAUGAUCAUGAAGAAAGAGCAUAUACUGAAAGAAAAAGACAGAGAAUGUAUAGUGAUCAACCUCCUGCUACUGUUCUUAAUAUGAACAAACAUGGUCAAAUUAGAUCGAAGAGGUGGAAACAAAGGGUGGAGAUCAUGUGCAGUGACCACGCUGAGUAGAAAUGGUAGUGAUUUGACAGCUACAACCAUUGGUAAAGCACGUUGGCAGGAACUUGACCAUGUUGUGGAAGAACUGGAGAAAAUUGUUGUUGUCAAUCUUCAGCACCGAUCAAUAUCUCAUUGGAAAUGUGCAGAAAUCAUCACUAAUAUUAGAGAAGGUGUUGUACUGUGUUUUGCCAAGUACUUAGAAAGCAUUCCUUAUUUUCUUUUGUUCUCUGGUUGAUGACAAGUGUUGUUCAAUUGAUCAAACAGGGUUAUCAGCUAUAUAUGUAUUUGAAUCUGGUAUUCAUGUUUUGGUGCAUUUUAUAUAAAAUUUAUUAUUUGGCU